GACGAACGCUGGCGGCGUGCCUAAUACAUGCAAGUAGAACGCAGUUGCGAACGGGUGAGUAACGCGUAGGUAACUGCCUCAUAGCGGGGGAUAACUAUUGGAAACGAUAGCUCAUACCGCAUACUGUGAGAUGGACCUGCGUUGUAUUAGGUAGUUGGUGAGGGAAAGGCUCACCAAGGCGAAGUUACAUAGCCGGGCUGAGCGGGUGAACGGGCACAAUGGGACCGAGAAACGGGCCAGACCCCAACGGGAGGGAGCAGUAGGGAAACUUCGGCAAUGGAGGGAAGUCUGGACGAACAACGCCGGGGGAGUGAAGAAGGUUUUCGGAUCGGAAAGCUCUGUUGUUAGAGAAGCGGUAACUAACGAGAAAGGGACGGCUAACUACGUGCCAGCAGCCGCGGUAAUAC
rnacentral:rRNA from 1 species